UACGUAGGGUGCGAGCGUUGUCCGGAAUUAUUGGGCGUAAAGAGCUCGUAGGCGGUUUGUCACGUCGGAUGUGAAAUCCCGGGGCUUAACUCCGGGCCUGCAUUCGAUACGGGCUGACUAGAGUUCGGCAGGGGAGACUGGAAUUCCUGGUGUAGCGGUGAAAUGCGCAGAUAUCAGGAGGAACACCGGUGGCGAAGGCGGGUCUCUGGGCCGAUACUGACGCUGAGGAGCGAAAGCGUGGGGAGCGAACAGG
rnacentral:rRNA from 1 species